UCUCUCUCUCUCACACACACACACACAAAAACAUGUUCAUAGCUUGGUUUGUUAUUUUAUAUUUUGAACAAUUUUUCUAUGUUUUGGGAAUUACAUUGCAUGUUUACUCAGGGCAUUAAGAACUGGCAGUUUAUUCUAUGCUACAUGAUUCGGGCUAUUUUGCCUAGGCCCAAAAAUGCCGAUUAUCUAACAUCUUAAACGCAGCCCACUUUUCACUCUUCUCUCUCUAGAGUUAAUACAAAUAAGAAGAUAAGAAAUGAGUGAACAAUACACAUAGAUACAUGAGAAUACAUGUAAAUACAAUGAGGAGGUGGACCUCGUCACUACACAUCAAGUGAACUUCACGUGUAUUGAUAAUUUUCAUUUUCAUAUAUAUAUAUAUAUAUAUAUAGUUAUUUAUUUAUUUAUUUACAGUGUAAAAUUACCUGUUAUAUUUGACUCAAGAAUUUAAUUUGUAACGCCAGUUUGGUGAUGGCUACAGCCUACCGCACCAAAUUCUAGUGCAGCCUUAUUGGCAACGGUGGAGACAGCUCUCCACCUCCUCUAACCUCGGGCGGGUAGGUUUGUUCGACUCCGAGUCGCAUAUUCGGGCCGCGGCCGUGGUCGUUGAUGCUGAAAAGCAUAGGAGAAGAGCUAUUGCAAUCAGUAGCUUAAGAGUGGAUUCGUUGAUUUUUUUUUGUGUGUUUGUGUGUGUGUGUGUAAGUAGCUCGUUUUUUGUUGUGAAAAAUUGAAGAAUUGAAUGAAUUGGUGAGCAUCGUAGGAUAGGGGAGGUGAAGGGAGAUAAAUGGAGAAAUACAAGAAGUUAUGGUAUGAGUAUUAAAUAGGUAAUUCCUAUUUGUUAAUUUUUCCUCUAUUUUUCGUCAAUUGUUGUUGUCUUUUUUUUUUCCCCUUACAAUUAUAAAAAACGAGGGUAAAAGUGACAUUUCACAUGCUCCGUUUGACAUUGUAAGCAGAAGCACCUAAUAGGGGAGGUUUGUGCAUUUAUUUUAAACUAGAAAGGGAAACGGUAUGUAAUUUCACUAUCUAAUACAGGUCCAACUAAAGUUAAGCUUUAUUUUAUUUAAAACAUUAGAUGAUUAUUAUAAAUUUGAAACAAAUUAAUUUUGUUGUUUUUUCUAAAGGUGGAAAGUGGUUUAUUUUUCAAUUCUUGGAAUCAAAUUGGAUAGGAAAAUAAAAUUUUGAAACAAAUGGUCUUCACUAAUGGAAGGUUCUCACGUUCCAUCGAUACGUCACAUUGAUCGUUUUAUUGUACAUUUAUUGUACACUAAUGGAAGGUUCUCACGUUCCAUCGAUACGUCACAUUGAUCGUUUUAUUGCACAUUGAUCGUUUUAUUGUACAUUUUUUUCGUGUCAAACUGUUUUCUAGUGUUGUCUUUGUUAAGUUUGUUUCGUAUAUCAGUCUUCUUGUAGUUGAAUCCCCAAAAUCCCCAAGUUUUUGGAAUGCUCCAAACUCUAUUUAUAUCAAUUUCAGUUUGAG